GAUAUGGUGGUGGACCUGGACAGGCAAGUGUUUCAGUAUUUGGCAAGGAAACUUCUUGUUGUCAAUUAUUAUUUUUGAUAUUUCCUUCAUUUCAUCAUAAUUUUUGUGUGAACUAAAUUUACCCAAUCUUUAGCCCUGAAACCUUCUCAUCCUCCGGUCUGAUUUGUUUCUGCCUUCUAAACAGUGACAAUUAAUAUGUUAGACUAGGCACCCUUUCUGUAGGCUAAUAAAAUUAAUACUAUGUCCAAUGUAACUUUCAUUGCAUUUUUUUCCUGAGAAAUGGGGACAAUCUGUUGUCAUAUUGG
rnacentral:misc_RNA from 1 species